rnacentral:tRNA from 1 species
CAGAGCAUAGCUAAACAAUAAUAGCAUCUCCCUUACACUGAGAAGUCAUCCGUGAAAAUCGGAUUGCCCUGA